AAAAUUGCAGGAGCGAGUUUGUGUUGCUGGUUGCAACCCCGCAGUGAUAGAAUCUCCAAGUGAACCAAGAUGGUCCCCCAAAGGCGAACUUUUUUUUGUCAGCGAUAGAAACAAUGGAUUUUGGAACAUCUAUAAAUGGAAUGAAUACAAAGAUGAGGUGAUCCCGGUCUAUUCACUAGAAGCAGAGUUUACUAGACCAUUGUGGGUUUUUGGAAUCAGUUCUUAUGAUUUUCUUGGAGAUGAAGAACGUCAUAGUAUUGUUUGCAGCUACAGGCUGAAUGGGAGGUCAUAUUUGGGAAUUUUAAAUGAUGUUGACGGUUCAUAUUCAGCUCUUGAUACUCCUUUUACUGAUGUUGGCAAUGUUGUUGUUGGAUCGAAUUGCUUGUUUAUUGAAGGAGCAUCUGCAUCACAUGCAGUAUCUGUUGUGAAGAUCACUCUAGAUAGCAACAAUAAACAAGUACCAUUGUUUUCAGUAAUUUGGUCUUCGUCAACAGAUGCUGCAAAAUACAAAUCAUAUUUCAGUUUGCCAGAGAUUGUAAAAUUUCCUACAGGGACUGGUGAAGAUGCUUAUGCAUAUUUCUACUCCCCAUCAAAUCCUGAUUAUCAAGCCCCCGUUGAUGAAAAGCCGCCCUUAAUUGUCAAAAGCCAUGGAGGGCCAACAUCUGAGACGCGUGGAAUAUUGGAUUUGAAUAUACAAUAUUGGACUAGUCGAGGUUGGGCAUUUGUUGAUGUCAACUAUGGAGGAAGCACUGGUUAUGGUAGAGAGUACAGAGAGCGGUUGUUAGGACAAUGGGGUGUUGUAGAUGUAAAUGACUGCUGCCAAUGUGCCAGAUUUCUGGUUGAAGAAGGAAAGGUGGAUAAGAAACGACUCUGUAUAACUGGGAGAUCAGCUGGUGGGUACACCACACUAGCUUGCCUUGCUUUCACUGAAACUUUCAAGGCUGGUGCUUCAUUGUAUGGUGUGGCUGACUUGUCAUUGCUGAGAGAAGAGACUCAUAAAUUUGAGUCCCACUAUAUUGACAGACUUGUUGGGGAUGAAAAAGCUUAUUUUGAGAGGUCCCCUAUAAACUUUGUUGACAAAUUUACUUGCCCAGUGAUCUUGUUCCAAGGAUUAGAUGACAAGAUUGUUCUGCCAGAUCAAGCCCAAAAGAUUUACAAAGCCUUGAAGGAAAAGGGUUUACCUGUUGCUUUAGUGGAGUAUGAAGGAGAACAGCAUGGAUUUCGCAAGGCUGAAAACAUCAAGUUCACUUUGGAGCAGCAAAUGCUGUUUUUUGCUCGAACUGUAGGCCACUUCAAAGUAGCUGAUCCAAUUGUUCCGAUCAAAAUCGACAACUUUGAUUGAGCUUUUCGUUGAUAUUUCCAGGUUUUUCUGUUGCAAGGUUUUCAACCUUUUUGUUUCAUUCUCAUAAACUUAAUCGGCGGCUUGGAUUUACCAACACAGCUACUGAGGUUGCGCCUUAUUGAAGAGAAAUACAUAUAGAAGACAAAUGAUGAUUUAUCAACAAUAAUUCUCUUUAUUUUUCUAGCUUCACGCAUGUAUACCAGAUAUUAUUUGCCUUGAAGACUCUAAACAGCCUCAGCAUGCCAAGAGAGCCAGCUAUAAUGCCAUAAGGAGCUGGAAAUCGAAAGCGUCCAGGUUUUUUCAUAGCUAUUCAGUCCAUCCUCUUUUUAGACCUGGUAUUUCUAACUUUCUGGAAGUCUACUAACUGGCUACUGCUUUGCUUGUUUGAUGUAAUUUUUUUUAUGUGAUCUUAGAUUGUUAAAAGGUGGUUGAUUUAAUACUAAUCUCACAUAAUGAGGUAAUUUGAAUAGAAUUAGUGAAUUAGAUUGAAGUUAUUUGGUAGGCAAUCAAAUUUGAUGAUGAUUACAUAUUCUCAUUAUUGGUGACAAUAAGGGAAAAAAUCAUAAUCAACCUUAGUCAUUCUAAA